UACGGAGGGUGCAAGCGUUAUCCGGAUUCACUGGGUUUAAAGGGUGCGUAGGCGGGUAGGUAAGUCAGUGGUGAAAUCUUCGAGCUUAACUCGGAAAUGCCUUUGAUACUAUCUAUCUUGAAUAUUGUGGAGGUAAGCGGAAUAUGUCAUGUAGCGGUGAAAUGCUUAGAUAUGACAUAGAACACCUAUUGCGAAGGCAGCUUACUACGCAUAUAUUGACGCUGAGGCACGAAAGCGUGGGGAUCAAACAGG
rnacentral:rRNA from 1 species